CCUACGGGAGGCUGCAGUGAGGAAUAUUGGUCAAUGGCCGCAGGGCUGAACCAGCCAAGUCGCGUGAGGGAUGACGGUCCUAUGGAUUGUAAACCUCUUUUGUCAGGGAGCAAAGGGCGCCACGUGUGGCGCUUUGCGAGUACCUGAAGAAAAAGCAUCGGCUAACUCCGUGCCAGCAGCCGCGGUAAUACGGAGGAUGCGAGCGUUAUCCGGAUUUAUUGGGUUUAAAGGGUGCGCAGGCGGAAUGUCAAGUCAGCGGUAAAAUUUCGGGGCUCAACCCCGUCGUGCCGUUGAAACUGGCGUUCUUGAGUGAGCGAGAAGUAUGCGGAAUGCGUGGUGUAGCGGUGAAAUGCAGAGAUAUAACGCAGAACUCCGAUUGCGAAGGCAGCAUACCGGCGCUCAACUGACGCUCAUGCACGAAAGCGUGGGUAUCGAACAGGAUUAGAUACCCCAGUAGUC
rnacentral:rRNA from 1 species